rnacentral:rRNA from 1 species
AGCUCCAAUAGCGUAUUUUAAAGUUGUUGCGGUUAAAACGUUCGUAGUCGUAUUUCUGCUUCGGAUCUGCCUUUCAAAAGUGAGAAUUCGAGCAUUGGUGUGGGCGGUUUACGUCACUUAAUUGUGCCGUUGCGUAAACCCACACUUAUUAUUUUGAGGAAAUUAGAGUGUUUAAAACGUGCAUGGGAUGAAUAUAAUAGCAUGGGACAAUGUGAAACGGGGACGAGAUUGGCGUGGAUUUUGGCUCGGCCCAAUUUUCAAAAGGAGCAUUUGGGGGUAUCCGUAUUGAGCUGCUAGAGGUGAAAUUCUUGGAUUUUUUUAAGACGAACAAAUGCGAAAGCAUUUACCAAGGAUGUUU